UGUGGGAGCGGGCUUGCUCGCGAAGGCGGUAGGCCAGUCGAUAUCUCUGUUGACUGACACACCGCCUUCGCGAGCAAGCCCGCUCCCACA
rnacentral:misc_RNA from 1 species